rnacentral:rRNA from 1 species
AAAACUUUCAACAACGGAUCUCUUGGUUCCGGCAUCGAUGAAGAACGCAGCGAAAUGCGAUAAAUAAUGUGAAUUGCAGAACUCAGUGAAUCAUCGAAUCUUUGAACGCACAUUGCGCCC